CGCUGUGAUUGCUUUUAAUGCGCCUCUCCCUGGGUGUCUGCUUAUGAUUGUCACGGCAAUUCUGGCCAGGGCGACGCGCUCUGUCUCGCUGGAAUUUCCUGACUUCAAGUAGCCCCUUCCAAAUAAAUAAAUUAAUCAAUAAAAGCCAUCUGCUUCACCUGGCCGGCAGGCACAGCACUGGAAGGGGUGGCGCUGAACGCGAUUUUUUAGGAGCGGUUGGCCCUUGAGACAUUUCGAGGACGACAACAGAGGGGCGUCGCUGGUGCGGCCCCUCUGCACCAGGACCUGAGGAGCCGGCUCCCCAGAAGCCCGUGGAUUAGGAAGGUCUCCUGGGGCUGCUUCAGGAGCUGGCGGCAUCAGGAAUUAAUGGAGGACGUCGUGGAGUCCCUCACCUUGGAUACUGGCUUCUCAAAGCAUUCCUGUGGCGGUUAAUUGUUGCUUCUGGCUGGGUGGCUGGUGAUGCUGGUGACAAGGUGCAGAAUCUCAAGAGCCAGGAAAUUUAGAGGCUUGGAUCAGAUAGUGUGUAGCUAGGCAGCUGCUGCCAGCUAUGCUAAAACCAGGUAGUGAGGUGGGCUGUCAUUAACCUGAGGGUCUACAAGGCAGUCCCAGCAGAUCAGCUCACGGCGAAGAGACUGAGGGGAAAGGCCCCAGUUCAUGCUGCAGCCCUCCCGGCAACCAGGAGGGCUUGGUGGCAGUUGUUCUGACAGCUGCUGAGGGCUUCAGCUGCCGAAAAAGCCAUUUGCUCAGGCCUACCCUGUCUGGCCAACUUCUACGUAUUUAAAGGCUCCUCCUUGGUCUCUCAGGCCCCCCCUCUCCACCUGAGUCCUCAGGCAAAGACGCGUCUUUGGAAACACCGGCAACCGCCUGGGAGACCUUCGCCCCGUCGUCUGCCUGUCCACUGCUGCUGUAACCUGCCCACAGUCAUCAAGAUCAGUUAGCAAAUUCCCAAAUUAAGGUUCUGUUGACUUUGUUGUUCCAAAGGCUUGUUUUGAGCAGGAUGUUGUGCUUUAAUUAAAAAGAUGAGAGCUCAUGAGUAAGUAAAACUAUUUCUGAAUCUUCGCAAGGAUGUCUGAAUUGCGUUUCUUGCAUCUCACCGCAGGGGUUCAGCUCUCUAAGACCACUGAAAACUUUCUCUGUCCUCAACAGCUGGCUCUUCCCCAUUGCAGAAUUGAAAGGGGAGCCCUGAGUCAAGAAUCUGCUCCUUGUGCUUCUCCGCUUGCAGAUUUUUGCCAGCCUUCAGGUAUCAUUAGAAUACAUUCUGCAUUCACCUUUCCAGCCAGAGAAUUCCCAUUCCCGAAGGUUUCCUCUGAGCUCCACAGCUGGAAUGCAGCUGUUGCGGGGUGGGGCAAGCUCUUUCUGGGUCAGCAGGGUGAGCGAGGGCAGGGGAUCUUGGAAGGUUGGGAAAGUCCUUCAUUCUAAAGCCAGAGCUCAGGAAUGAGUGGGGCCUCUGGUGUGAAAACUUUCCAGAUGGGGGAAGGAAGGGUAAGCUUUGCCCUCUGGGUAGAUUCCAAAAAAUUGCUUUGGGGAGGCCAACUAUUUUGAAACUGCCUUUAAAG
ensembl:lncRNA